CAGGCCUAACACAUGCAAGUCGAACGAUGCUUUCGGGCAUAGUGGCGCACGGGUGCGUAACGCGUGGGAAUCUGCCCCUUGGUUCGGAAUAACAGCUAGAAAUGGCUGCUAAUACCGGAUGACGACGUAAGUCCAAAGAUUUAUCGCCGAGGGAUGAGCCCGCGUAGGAUUAGCUGGUUGGUGUGGUAAAGGCGCACAAAGGCGACGAUCCUUAGCUGGUCUGAGAGGAUGAUCAGCCACACUGGGACUGAGACACGGCCCAGACUCCUACGGGAGGCAGCAGUGGGGAAUAUUGGACAAUGGGCGCAAGCCUGAUCCAGCAAUGCCGCGUGAGUGAUGAAGGCCUUAGGGUUGUAAAGCUCUUUUACCCGGGAUGAUAAUGACAGUACCGGGAGAAUAAGCUCCGGCUAACUCCGUGCCAGCAGCCGCGGUA
rnacentral:rRNA from 1 species